UAGGGAAUCUUCCACAAUGGACGCAAGUCUGAUGGAGCAACGCCGCGUGAGUGAAGAAGGUUUUCGGACCGUAAAGCUCUGUUGUUGGUGAAGAAGGAUAGAGGUAGUAACUGGCCUUUAUUUGACGGUAAUCAACCAGAAAGUCACGGCUAACUACGUGCCAGCAGCCGCGGUAAUACGUAGGUGGCAAGCGUUGUCCGGAUUUAUUGGGCGUAAAGCGAGCGCAGGCGGA
rnacentral:rRNA from 1 species